UCUAUCCAACAAUGGUUUAUAAAAAAUUUUCUAUUGUUAAUUUUUCAAGUUUCUUGUCUUUAAAUGUUAUUUCUACAUCUAAUAUUGCUACUUUCUGACGCAUUCAAAUGGAUUAAUGGGUAACGCAUUUUAUUCGAGAGAUAAUAAAUUAUCAAAAAGGCAGCACAAAACAAAUUAGUACUGCGACCAGUUUGCAACCCUCGCUACCGCAUAUUGCAUACCGUGUACGCGCAAGCACGAGGAAUUACAUAGUUUUGGGAUAUAUAUUGUUGUUUAGUAUGGUUUAGAAUUUCCAUAGAUAACGGAGAAUUAUAACGGAGGCCGCUGUCGCGGGACCGAGAAAUCGUACGCCGUUCCGUAUAGGUAUGCGUACACUUGUAUAUGAAUACAUAGAAGACGCUUUCUUUCGAAUUAAUUCGCAAACCAAGAAAGAAAAAAUCGAUAUCUGAGUCCAUUAUUGUAACAAUCAUGUUAAUUCUUUGCCUUUAUUUGAAUUGAGAAUAGCUCGGGCUCCAAAUUGGGCAAAGAAUCUUAUUUAAAUUUUGAAAAAUCAAGGAAGGAAUCUUUUACAUACGUAAAACUUCCGAUAGACAGAAAUCGUAGAAUGAAAAAUUCCAUAAGUAUGAAUAUGAUGUGAAAUAUAAUUCGCAUUUAAUUUAUCAACGCAGAUUAUCAGUCAUUAAUCACUGUUCUUAUAAAUAGCAGAAGAUAGUGCACGUCGCCUAAGUAAGUAGCAUAAAUUGCGGCGGAAGUACAGCGGAUCUGAUAAGCUUGCGCUAAAUUGCGCGAGGGCCGCAUGACCUCCUCAUCUUCCCGCUGGCUCCCUAGCUCCCCCACCCCCCUAAGCCGCAACUAAUAACUCGGCUUUUUCUUUAACGACGAACUACAAACUAAUCUACGGCACACGCGCGCUGUCGCUCGGCGGAUAUACUAUUGGCGACUCGAGGCCGCCGUCCGUGCUCUUUCCUCCUCCGCCGUGCGUUUCCGCGGGCCUCUCUCGCGGCUACGACACGAGCGGGCGGGAGUCGCGGCGACGGAAAAAUGGCGCGGCAUCGGCGGUCGACCUGGACCGAGUAACCCACAUUCUUUCGGCCGAGCCGCGGACCACACUUGAUCGUCCCGUGUGUACCCGUGAGAGAAGGUUAGGUUUAAGCAACUCGGUGGAAGUUGCGGGCAGGGUCGGUUGGCCCGAGGGCGGCGGCAACUAUUAUAAACUGUAGCACCUCGAACUACCGCCUCCAGCCUUCCUUCUCUAACACCGGACGGACCGCCACCCUUCUUCGCCCGGUCCUCCCUCGCCACCGCCCUUUACCUUGCUUCCACCUCGAAUCCAACACCGUUCCCCACACCCACCGCCGGCUUCACCGCCGCCGCCGCCACCGCCGCCGCCGCCGUCGCCGUCGCUCUGCGCCAACCACCCCCUCGCCCCCGACUCCAAAUAACCCAGGAAACCCCCUGCCGAACUAACCCGCGCCCCGGAACUCUCUCCAGGUUUCUCUCCUACGCCGUACCCUCUAAUCAAUCAACCCCCAGGCAUCUCGGCCGGUCUGCACCGGGGAUCGCGGCUUUCCAGUCUUCACAGGAACGUCUCUCUAUCUCGAAAGACGAAAGCGUCGGCUGGACCCGUGGGUAACCCUGUUGCUGCACAGUCCGCUGCAAACGGCUGUGCGCGCACAUACGGCCACGAACACGGACGCGCGUAGGCAUGCAUUCAUCGCGCGACGUGGAAUCUCCAACUCUGCGGCGAGCAAGAUCGAAAGGUUUCGGGCGAACAUCCGAUCGACCUACUUGCCGGACGUUCCUGAUUAGCGUCUUGUCUAUUGAUUAAUGCUCGUUGAUUAAUGCGAACCCGUCGCCGGGAAGCUCUCAAAGGCUUCUAUGUUUAAUCUCUGUCCAGUAAGGUAUAAAUUAUUUACACUCCAGCGACCAAACUGGUCAGUUUGACCGCUAAAUACUUGUUUCCCGCAUUAGCCACAAGGCAUGUAUUUUUAUCAAUUUUUAAUUAGCGUUAGUAAUGAAAAGCGUAAGAGGAGGUACUCCUUCAUAUUUCGCUACGAGUUUUAAAAAUUCAGUUUUCCUUAUUUAGUCUGAAAACAAGAACACAUCGACAGAGGAGAUAAAAUCUAUUUCUCGAACUUCUGUUUAAUAAUAACUCGAAGCCUGUUCAUUCAUUCGAGCAAUUUAUUCUCGUCCACCAGAUAUCAAUUUCGAAAGAUCUAUAAUCUUCAUCCGUAGCUUUGACUGAACGGUAAGGAACCAAGAAAGCACUUUGGCAUUCAGCCAUUUGACCAAAGACAAACGUGAUUCUUUAGGGCGACGGCGGCUGUGCCAGGUACAAUGCAGUUAAUGGGUAAUUAUCGCGGUACAAUUUUGCCCGGCAGCCAUUCCCGUUCAUUUCCUCGAUAUCUUCGGACAAGCCGCUACCGCCGCCGCCACGUUUCGCUGUCUCUCCAUCGUAUUUGGUCCCGACCGUGCAUCGCGUUCCAAUAUCUGCCGUUUUCUCCCAUCGAUUUAGCCGUACAGGCCUCAGCGUAACUGUACGCGAAAGGGAGGAAAUGGAGUAAUUAUAAGGAAAUAACGGGCGUUGUCCGUGUGGUGGGUAUUGAGACCUUGGGGGGAGGGAGACCUUUUGCUUCCCUUCGAUAAACCGCGAUUCCCGAAUAUGAGAAUUCCAAUACCGUGCGAGAUUAUCGAUCAUAAUGUAGCAUUAUAUCGUAAUUUCUAUCACUUAUUUACUGCGUUUUGAUUUGAUUUUAUCGCUGUAAAUACGCAUUUUAUGAGUUAACCACGCGUUCUCCAUUUGAAUAUCUUAUUGACAAAAAAAAAAAAGCGAAGGAAGAUAGAUGAAAUGGUGCGGAAGACGAAGGCAAAAAAUACGUACGAGUAAAUCUCGAUAAAGUAAUGUAGAACAAAUCGUGUGCAUCUCAAUUAAUUCCUCUGGACGAAAACAUCGGGGAACGAAGCCACGCCGCACGUUGAUCGCACUUUCUAAUUACAGGGGCCAAACCGCGGACAUUUAUUUAACAACUCGACGCUCCGCCGUGAAGUCGACGCGACGUCUCUCGCAGAGAGACGUUAAUUCGUUAACGUUUAAUUGCGCAACUUGGCCAUUCCCCGCCCGCCUCCUUCCACCCCCUCCCAUCCCUGAUCCAACACUCACACGCUGCGUGAACGGCGCGUUUGCACGCGUGUACUUGCGUGGAAUUAACCGACGGGCCAAUACCUCUCGUAGUGGUCCUGGGGAUACGCGAUGCAAUUAAUAUAAUUACUUUCGAUUAUACACGGAAGGUAGGAGAGCAAGAGCGGGGUGAGAAAGGGAAAGAGGGACCGUCUCUCUAUCCUCGUUUUCCAGGCUACCGCGUCGGCUCGCACGAGAUUACGUGCUCCGCGCACGGACACGAUGUAUACGUGCACUUCCGUAUACACAACACGCAAACAUUCCAACUUCAUUUCAUCGACUUGAUCUUUUGACUACUUUGCUGCGUCAACGAGAAUAUAAAGAAUAUUGCCGGUAGAAAAGCUACACGGCACAGAUGUAUUUCGAUGAAAAAUUCAUUAAAGAAUGUUACUUGCGUUUACAUCUUUCAUGAAGCUCUAAUAUUGGAGUUUAUUUUUUUAAUAAAAACCUUCUCAGUGCCUUACCCGUACAUAUUAAUGUUAUUAUAUGUACAAUGUUAUAUAAUGUAUAAUGUUAAUAUAUGUUUCUUUCAUGCUUCGAAUAAACUUAGCAACUUUACGACAAAGUGUCAUAUUUUAAUUAUCACUUUUUUUAACGUAUAUCAUAUCGGGAAAAGUAAUAAUUAAAAUGAAUUUAAGUGCAAACUUGGAGUUCGUGCAUAAAGCGCGCCUCAUCGCUAUUUUCUAUCUAAGAUUGCUUUUGCGAUGCAAAAUACAUAUUGACCUUUACUCGAGAUCUGCUGUACGACCUUUGUCAUUUCUUUACGUGAAUAUGAAUAACUCAAGGUAAGCCUUAAGGUUCGCCCUUUGUGCUAAGUUUAUUUCUACCGCAAACUUACUUAAUGCGAGACUAAUCAUACUCGGUAUUUAACUGUUCAAAUUCUGAUGUAUAUUUCACAGCGGAAACGAAUUUAAUCGUUUUACUCUGCAGCCCAGUUUGCGCUAUCAAUAUUCAAUUGGCACACGUGGCUACAAAGAAUUAUCGCGCAAAUGGUGCACCUGAAAUAUGUAUAACCAGGCGAGAGAUGCCCUUCGCGUUCAACCAAAAGUGAAUCCUGCUCCGUGCAUACACGCUCGCGCGGGAACAACCACACUCGUGAGUUUACCAGAACGAAACUACACGCGUGGUCUAGAUGUAUGCAAUUUUGACUAGAUUAACGCUGCAUUAUUCAGCUAAUUAACUGCUAGGAACCGGGCCCGGCCCGCUGUUUUCGGUAUCCCCCCAUGGAAACAACGUCGUUUGUCUUGCACCUCUACUCUCGGAGAUAUUCGCUCGGCACCGUCGCAAAUAUAAGCUCUUUACAUUAUUGGUCUUUCAAAUUUGCCUGUUGCGAUUACUGAACGUACUUCCGCGUUGAAGAACGACACAUGAUCGCUGGUUCCCGUUUUUAAGAUUGAAAGUACAUUUAAGAAUUUGCGGGUAACUUCAAUAAUAACUGCAUCUAACAUAUGAAUGACUUUUGUCUGCGAUAAAUGAAAUAUUCUGAAAUUGAAAGAAGUUUACAGACGCGUGAGGAAGCUGACUGAGGAAACCUAUAUUCAACCUGCCUUUCGUAUUGAUUUGAAGAGCAGCGGAGCACGAACGAGCUAUUCCGAGUUUGGCAAUCAUGUUCAACGUUGCGACCGCCAUCUUCUUCGGGAACACUACGCGAUAUUGCAGUGACGUUCGGCGUUCCUCUCAAGCGCGAGCUCUCUAAACUUUGGUCGAAUCGAGGAGAUGGCAAAGGAGGAUAAGAGGAGGGAGACGCGAGGAAAAGGGGGAGGGGCGCGGCCGCAGAGAAACGGGAAAGGCGAUGCUGGAAAUGGGAGAAUGGCUGAAUAUUCCUCGAGGACGAGCACUCCGUCCGUUGAGCGGCAACGGCCGAGUCUAGGCGUAGCCGAUCCAGAAACCAGAAACCAGAAACCAGGCACAACGACUGGAGAACAGAGGAGGCCCGGAUAAUAGCGACGGGAGGAACCGGAAAGCAUAAACCCACGCAAAAGUGGAGGCCACUUCAAGCGUUUUCUGCGGCGGUCGCCGCGACCCUUCCGAAAAUUAUCCAGAACGACCUCGUAGUCGCCGCGGCCUUACCACCGAAGAAAUAACCACCGACUCGAGCGGGAAAAAAAUGUUUUCGCAACAAUGAGAUAUGGAUGCCGCAAAAAUAUACUUUCCCUGGUAAAUCGUGAAAAUGGGCUUGCAAGAAUUGUCUUUUUACGAAAGAAAACAAACGUACAUCUUUUGAUAACAUUUAUCAGUGGAAUUAAAUAGCAGCGCAUCAUGAUGCAUAAAAAAUCAUUCGAGGUUUAGAGAGAAAUAAAUAAAAUAAUUAAUUGGGUUCAAAAA